AAGAGAAAGUAAGUCAAAAUCUUUGUGUUAUGGAGUGGGGGGAUGAGGUGUGAAAGUGUAAGAUAAAGAAAUAAUUCUGUAGAGUGGGUGCCCUCUGGAAGAGAGAAACAGAAAGAGAUGGGGAACAAGGCAGUCUAUAUAUCCCAAAGGCACCAGAUCCUGUCUGAUCUUGGGAGCUAAGCAGGAUCAGGCCUGGUUACUACUUGGAAGUGAAACCGCCAAGGAAUGACUGGCGUGAUAAACUAGAAAGCCCCACUUCCACUAUCUUUAGGAUUGAUAUCGAGGAAUUUAUUAUUUAUUUACAGUAUUUAUAUUCCACCCUUCUCACCCCGAAGGGAACUCAGGGCGGAUCACAGAACAUAUAUAUGGCAAACAUUCAAUGCCAAUUAUACAAUGACAAGACAGACAACAGAGAGAGGUAUAUAUAUGCUUUCCCCCAUCUUUUUGGCAUCUUUGGGGACUGUGAUCGAUUCCAGCCACAGGAGGGUGCUGUCUCUCCAUCUCUUUGCUAAAGAGCUUUCUUUGUUCAUAAACUUUUCCCUCCUUUUUCUGAUUUAACCACCAUACCUAAAAUACCUCUCUGCUUUAAUGCGGUUCCUAUUUAUAUACUCACAUUGCUAUUUUCAAUCUGCUAGGUGGGCGGGGAGUUGGGCUGAAGGUCAGCAGCUCACCCUUACCCGGCUUCAAACUGUCAACCUUUUGGUUGGCAAGAUUUACUGCAGCUGCAGCUGGUGAUUAACCUGCUGUGCUAAAACUGGCCACAUUGGACAAAUUAUGUCCUUCCAAGCAUUUUCUAGAUCCUGCAUCAUGGCUCGUUGAUAUUCUUGGUCCAAAAACCCUUCAUUUCAAUGAGUUUGCUAUUAUCUAUAGUUUUGCAUAUCCAAAUGAAGUCCAAGAACACACCCUCUGUGGAUAUAAGAGUUGUCUUGGUCAUACCCUUCCGACUCAAGCCAACCCUGACCAGGACCACCUUCCACCUGGAAACCGAUGUCCUCACUGCAGAAGAACAGGCGGGUCAAGACUAGGUCUUUACAGCCACCUAUGCAUCCACCACCAAGAAACUACACUUGGAGAGCCAUCAUCCUCGGGCUACAAGGGAUUGCCUAAGUGAUGCUCUCUAAGCCAAGCAGAAUGAACACCUUAGAUGCUGGUACAAGCCUGGAGAUGUCGA
rnacentral:lncRNA from 1 species